GCGGACGGCUGAGUAAUGCAUAGGAAACUGCCCAGUAGUGGGGGAUAGCCCGGGGAAACCCGGAUUAAUACCGCNNACGCCCUUCGGGGGAAAGCAGGGGAUCUUCGGACCUUGCGCUAUUGGAUGUGCCUAUGUNGGAUUAGCUAGUUGGUGGGGUAAAGGCCUACCAAGGCGACGAUCCGUAGCUGGUCUGAGAGGAUGAUCAGCCACAUCGGGACUGAGACACGGCCCGAACUCCUACGGGAGGCAGCAGUGGGGAAUAUUGGACAAUGGGGGCAACCCUGAUCCAGCCAUGCCGCGUGUGUGAAGAAGGCUUUCGGGUUGUAAAGCACUUUCAGUGAGGAGGAAAACUCUGCGACUAAUACUCGUAGGGCUUGACGUUACUCACAGAAGAAGCACCGGCUAACUC
rnacentral:rRNA from 1 species